rnacentral:lncRNA from 1 species
UAGCAUUGACCUGUGGCGCGCUCCGUGGUUCCUAAGCCUGAAGUUUUAGUCGCGGUGGAGGCAGUUGGAAAACAGUAAGAUGUCAUUGGUCAGAGUGAACCGUUACCGUCCCCGGGGAAGUGGAAGAAAAACACUGAAAGUGAAGAAGAAGAAAACUUCAGUGAAGCAAGAAUGGGAUAAUACUGUGAAUGAUCUAACAGUUCAUCGGGCAACUCCUGAAGAUCUGGUACGUCGUCAUGAAAUACAUAAAUCGAAGAAUAGAGCUUUAGUGCACUGGGAACUCCAAGAAAAAGCUUUGAAGAGAAAACGGAGGAAGCAGAAACUAGAAUCUUCAAGUCUUGAGAAAAGAAGAUUGUCUAUCAUGAGAGAGGUAAUGCUAAAAUGCAUUACCUUUAGAAUUAGAGGAAAGAGAUAAAUAGGUUUCUUUUUCCCUCAACUUGAUUGAUAUUAUAGAGACUAGUUAUUACUAUAUCUAUAUGAUCUACAUGUAGAUUUUUAAAGUAGCAGCAAAUGAUGAUUUGGCAGUUUGAAUUCUUGCUCCAUAACUUACUAGCUGUGUAACUUUAAGCAAUUUAUUUACUUUCUUAGCCUGAAUUUUCUCAUCUAUAAAAUGCCUUCUUUUGAGAUUUUAAUGAUAUAAUACUUAUAUAGUGAUCAGCACAGUCCUUGGUAAAUAAUUAGUUCCUUUUAUAUGUAAACUGCUAUAGUUAUUUUUCUCAGUUCAACAGCAGUGCUGUUAAGUUACUUAGCAAAACAACAAAAAAUGAAUGCUGUGUCCUUUAUGGUUAGUAAACUAUAAACCUGUGUGAUUCCUCACAGGUAUUUGGCUUAACCUUUUGCCCAAUAUAGGGUUUUUGGACAAGUAAUCAGAUAAUAUAUGGAUAAACAAUGUGGGAAAUAAGAGGAGACUAUAACCAUAAUUUUUGUCUUUUAAAUUUGAGCUGAAAUCAUUGUAAAGAAAUGUAUAUUGUGCUUCUUGUUCAGAUUAGAGUCUAUGACACUUAGCUGUCUGGGUAAUCUUUCAUUGCAGGUGUAAAUCACACUGUUUUUUUCAGAAAUUUAUUAGGGUUUUUAAUGAAAAAAGGAAGUCUUCAUUUUAUACAUCAUCAGGAAAAAUUAUACCUACCAAAUAAAUGUUUCUUGUCCUUGAGAAAAGAACAGUGAAUUGAAAAGAGAAUGCUCCUUUCCAGAUAAAUAUAUUUUGGUGAUUUUGGACAAGUUCACACACAUUUAAAUGUUAUAUGCUAAUUCUCUUCAAAAGUCCUAAAAAUACACAUCUGACCAGGAAAGAAACCCAGUCCCCCUGAAAUGUAUCAGACCCUGAGAUUUUGUUUUCCUUCUCCAGUGGCUCCUGCUCAUGUCCUAAAUUUCUCAUAUAAGUAAUAGAUGUGGUAGAAGUAAGGUAUUGGAAGUUGAGUGGUGAGAGGAUGAAUAAGGUUGCUCUGCCUUCUUUUGGUAGUGCAGCUUCCUUCAGUUCUAGUGUAGUGGUUCUGCACAUUAGAAUUACCAUGGUUGAGAAGCUUCAUUAAAAAAUUAUUGCUGUAUCUAGAGGCUGAAGUUGUAGUUUAGUGGAAGAGUGCUUGCUUAGAAUGUGUGAGGCAGUGGGUUCGAUUCUUAGCAUUAUAUAUAAAUAAAUAAAAUAAAGAUCCAUCAACAAGUAAAAAAUGUUUAAAAAAAUUAUUACUGUAUCUGGACCUUUUACCCAGAGUGUCUGAUUUAGUUGACCUGGAGUGUGAUUCCACACAGGUAUUUUCUAGACAGUUUCCUGUGUGAUUUUAAUGCGCUGGAGGGGUUGAAAACCUUUGCUCUUAAUGGGAUUCACUUGUUUCUCUUCUCUUUAACAACGUAUUUUGGAAUUUAUUUCAUGUUAAUACUUAGAAAUCAACAUUUUGUGUGUGUGUGUGUGUUGCUGAGGAUUAAAUCUAGGGCCUUGUGCAUGCUAGGUAAGCACUCUUCCAUGGAGCUACAAAGAGAGCCCUCUAAUUUUUCUUUUUAACUCCCAGUAGUGUAUAAAUAUACUAAAGCUUAUUUAUCAUGCUUUUUUGGUGGACAUUUAGGUUUUAUAUUAUAAUGCAGUGUAAAUUUCUGGAACAAAAAUCCUCAAAACAUAGUCAUUUAAACCAAAUAAAGAUUUAUUUCUCUUUUAUAAAAUAGUUCAUUUGUAAAUGGUAUUUGGUGGGAGACCUGUAGUCCUUCAUUACAUGACUUCUGUCUUGAGUAUAGAAUGACUGUUGCAGCUUUCUUCAGUUGUAUGCAAGCCAGCAAAGAGAGGAAAAGACAAUGUACUCCUUUUACAUACCAUCCAGAAAUGUUAGUAUCUGUCCUGGUGGCCAGAAAGUCAUUGCAUGACCAUUCUCACUUGCAAAGAUGGUUGGAAAUCUACCUAUAUACUUGCUAAAACUUGGGAGUCCUGCUGUUAAAGCACAAAGCAGAAGAAAGGGUGUUAGUGGAUAAGUAGCAAUGUAUGCCACCCACAGAUUGCUUCCUACCUUGCUACUAUAAAUAAUGUAAUGAAUAUUCUUAAGUAUGUUUUUGGAGAUAUAUAUUUGUAAGAUAAAUUAUUAAGAAUUGCUGAGUCAAAGGAUAAGUGUAUCUUUUAUUUCAGUGUUACUAAAUUUGUAAUGUCUAUGUUUAAGGGAUGUCAUAAUAUUAAAAAAAUUCUCAAUAAGAAUAUUCAUGUAGGCUUAAUCAUUAUACACUGAAGCUCUCAGGACCCAUCUCCCUGAAACUGGACUCCUAGAUUAAUAUAAAUCAAGAGGAAAGCUCUUUGGCUAGUAUAAUCUUAGAUUUCAUUUACUGUAUGAUAUAAUAGGCCAUAGGAAUCAAGCACAAUUAAGGUUCAAAUUUAAGAGGAAGGGAGCCUUUCAUAAAGCCUUUUAUAAAUUCCGAAAGUGUAAUAAAUUCCUAAGUAUCUUUGUAAUUUCUCAAUUUCAUCUGGUUUCUGUUACCAUGCAAUAAAAGGGCUAGGAUGAGGAGUUUCCGAUAAUGUUUUUUCUGGGCUCCUGACUGAUCCUUUGAAAAUCUAAGAUGUACACCACUACUUAUAAGUUUAAUUUUUUGCUCUGCAAAACCAUCUGGAGUAUAAAUAUAUACAGAUGGGUUUACAGAGAUCAGUUUACCUAUCAAGAGAAUUGUUUUGUGAGAGGAGUGCUAAAUCUCCAAAGAGCAAAGAAAAUCCAGCACAUAGAUCUUUGGUCAUUCAAACCAUGUACCCAAGGAGCCUGGUCAGAGGCUAGAAGGGGGUAGAGCAGUAGGUUUACUUGAGACCUCAAUUAUAACUAGUAUCAGUUGCAUCUCUGUAAUUUCCUUCUGUUUCUUUGUUUUGUUAGAUCAGUACUCUCUUUUAAAAAAAAUAUAGUGAACUCUUAAAAACUUCCAUUAGGAUUUGAUUCCUAUCACCACAAAAAUAAAUAAACAACAACAAUAACAAAAAAUCUCUUGUCAUUAAGAGAUAAAUUUUUAUAAUUUUUUCUAGUGUAGUGAUAGAUUAAUAGAUCACAUUCUUUCCUAAGCUUUUAAUUGCAUGCACUUGUAAGAGGACUCAUCAGUGAUAGAAAUUUGGUUUAUAGGAUAAUAUAAUUUACAUCAUAACAGUAGCUAAAGCUUCUCUAGAGUGCUGCAUAAGUUUCCAGUGUGUCUACAUCCUUGUAGCAUCUCUGUAGGAUUGAGGAGGUGUUUGCAACUUGGGAAAUUAAGUUUAAAGAGGUUGGAUUUUGCUUAGCAUUUUUUUGUCUGGGCCUAGAACUCCAGUCUUCCAGCUCCAAAUGUGCUCUUGAUCUUACCCUUCCAAAGCUUACUCUUUGUGGAAGGAAUAAAUUCAGGACUUCAUUCUUAUCAACUGAGCUAGCUGACCUGCUUGGCCACAGCAAGUGAAGAAGGGGAAAAGUAACUUAUUUUUCUUUCUGUAUCAUAAAACUACAACUGAGGUUAUAUUGUGUAAUUAUUUCCAUGAUACAGAAAAAUUCUGGUAGGAAUAUUUGUUACCAGAUGUUUUGACUUGAGUCAGUGUUGGAAACUAGGUAGCUUCUUAAUUUUGAGACUCCUUUCAAUUUAAGAAUGCCAUCUGGUGGUGGUAGAUGGAGUUGACUCAUUUUUGGCCUGUGGCUUUGCUUGUAAUUAUGAAAGUUCUGUCCUGGAAAAGCGUGUAAUCAGAAGCAGGAAUGUAAUGUGAUUUUUUUUUUUUUUUUUUUUAGUUUCCAAAUCUUUGGGAUUAAAGAAACAACUUUUUUAAAACACAGAGACAUCACCUUUUUGUUUAAUUCUAACACUCAUUUUUUUUUUUUUUAAUGUAACUCAUGACCCAGUGUAGAUUAUGAAAUCAUUUAAGUGGUUGAAACACCUCUGAGUUUAUGGCUCAAAGAUUUUUAUAUUUGAUCUUUUUUUUUCAAAUUGUGGAUGAUAAUUUGUUAAUGGAUUAUGAAGUUGAGUUAGUAUCUUGUCACCAUCAUUAAAAAAUAGAAGUGAAAAAGAAAAUAUAAUAGUACUUUUAAUGCAGAAAGUUUGUUAAAUAAACUUUUGUUUCAUAUACAUUUACAUGUAUGUGAGUGUUCUGGGUUACAAUUUUAAUAUGUAUUACUUUGGAUUGCAGCCAACCAUUUGCAAACUACUAAUUAUUGUGAUAGCCCCAUCUACUGGUACUAAAGGAUAUUGUAACUGAAGGAUUUUAGGUGGUGGUUUAUGGUUUAUGCUCUGUGCCUUUGUAUAGUCUUUUCCUUUGUGAUUUGAAGAGUAUAUAUAUAUAUUUUUUUUUCUGAGUAAUAUUUGUUAUUGACACAUGUCUAGAUUCUUUCUGAUCAAUACCAGAUGCAGGAUGUUUUGGAGAAAUCUGAUCAUUUGUUGGCUGCAG